UCCACUCUAACAAAGAAAAUGAAAGAAUACGUGAAAGGAAGAAUCCAGACGUCUCCAAUGAAGAAAUAUGUGUGGCCAUAAAGAACUAUUGGCGAAAUAUCCGCAGACAAAACAAUGAAAAAGACAAAUGGGAGCGCAGACAGCUGGAGGCUCGUCGGAGGAAAAGCAAGAGAGAUAAAUGCCAAUGUCGUAUACAAGGGGUCCCUCACUCCUCUUUGUCAGAGAUGGACAAGAAAACCAUGGCAAAUGCGCUUCAAGUUCUUCCUGUAGAAGUGACGAUGAGCACGGAGGAGUCUGGGGAGGAAGACAAUCCAUUUAACCAGGGAGAACAAAUGACCGUGAAGGUGGUCAGACCUCAGAAGUGGGAAUCAGGAAGGUUUAGAGAGUACAAAAGGGCCUGUGAUAUAGCAUACAGCAUGAUCAAAAAGAAAAGAAAGUGCAAACUUCCUCGAAAAAGAGGUUCUUUUUCAAAGUACAAUAGGCCAGAUUUACCUGACGA